AGGUCAAGCUGUUAAGAGCACAGGGUGAAUGCCUUGGCAUUAGGUGCCGAUGAAGGACGUGACAAGCUGCGAAAAGCUGCGGGGAGGAGCAAAUAUCCAUUGAUCCGCAGAUGUCCGAAUGGGGAAACCCGGCUGUGGUCAUGCACAGUCAGCGUUAUGUGAAUACAUAGCAUAACGCAGGAAAACCCGCUGAACUGAAACAUCUAAGUAGGCGGAGGAAGAGAAAGAAAAAUCGAUUUUCAAAGUAGCGGCGAGCGAAAUGGAAAGAGGCCAAACCUAAGAUAGCAAUAUCAUAGGGGUUGAGGACUGAAUAAUCCAUUGUGAGUUUCUAGAAGAAUUGGUUGGGAAGCCAAACCAAAGAGGGUGAUAGUCCCGUAAUCGAAAGAGAUGAGCAGGAGUCAGUAUCCAGAGUACCGGCGGACACGAGGAAUCUGCCGGGAAGCCGGGGGGACCACCCCCCAAGCCUAAAUACAACCUAAUGACCGAUAGUGAAGCAGUACUGUGAAGGAAAGGUGAAAAGAACCCCGGGAGGGGAGUGAAAGAGAACCUGAAACCUUGUGUUUACAAGCAGAUAAAGCACAAUAUUAGUGCGAUAUCGUACUUUUUGUAGAACGGUCCGGCGAGUAUAUGUACGCAGCGAGGUUAAGAUAUUAAGUAUCGGAGCCGCAGGGAAACCGAGUGUUAACAGCGCGAAUAAAGUUGUGUGUAUAUGACCCGAAACCGGGUGAUCUAUCCAUGGACAGGAUGAAGCGGAAGUAAAAUUCCGUGGAGGUCCGAACUCACUGCUGUUGAAAAAGUAGGAGAUGAGCUGUGGAUAGCGGAGAAAUUCUAAUCGAACCCGGAGAUAGCUGGUUCUCCCCGAAAUAGCUUUAGGGCUAGCCUUAUAUUAGUUUAGCGGAGGUAAAGCACUGAAUGAGCUAGGGGCCGUAUUGGUUACCGAACUCUAUCAAACUAAGAAUGCCGCAUAAAUGAUGUAUAGGAGUCAGACUGCGUGAGAUAAGUUUCGUGGUCAAAAGGGAAACAGCCCAGACCUACAGCUAAGGUCCCAAAAUGGAUUUAAGUGGAAAAGGAUGUUCAGAUGCUAAAACAACCAGGAUGUUGGCUUAGAAGCAGCCACACAUUCAAAGAGUGCGUAAUAGCUCACUGGUCGAGUGACUGGGCGCCGAAAAUUUAACGGGGCUAAAAUUCAUACCGAAGCUUGGGCAAUGUGCACACAAUUUAAUUAUUAUCAGAAAAAUUGUGCACUAUGACAAUGAGCGAAGCGAAUUGUCAUCAAAUUGUCCCUAUGGAUAAAGUUCAUUUAUCUGUUAGGAUAAGAGAUUAUCUGAAAGGAUAAGAUUUAUCCGAAAGGGUGAUAAUGGUUAAAUUGUGUGCAUAUUGGGUAGGGGAGCGUUGUGUAGUAGGACGAAGGAAGACCGGAAGGACUUCCGGACGAGGCACAAGUGAGAAUGCCGGAAUAAGUAGCGAGAAUUAUGUGAGAAUCAUAAUGGUCGAAAAUCUAAGGUUUCUUGGGGAAGGUUCGUCCGCCCAAGGUAAGUCGGGAGCUAAGGCGAGGCCGAAAGGCGUAGUCGAUGCACAUACGGCAGAUAUUCCGUAACCGCCGAAAUUGUUAAGCACAGGGACGCAGGAAGAUAGCCUGACCCGGGCGUUGGUUGACCCGGGCGAAAGGGAGCGAAAAUUAGUAGCGAAGCAGGUGAUUCUACACUGACGAGAAAAGCUGUGUGAAUUGAUUAGGUGCCCGUACCGCAAACCGACACAGGUAGAUGAGGAGAGAAUCCUAAGACCAACGGGAGAAGCAUUGUUAAGGAACUCGGCAAAAUGACCCCGUAACUUCGGGAGAAGGGGUGCCUGCAUAAAGCAG
rnacentral:rRNA from 1 species